UGCUACCGCCAGUAUUCCUUAUCCAAUUACUGCCGGUAACCCGACCCCAAUCCCUCUUUUUAAGUUUAGGGCUCACGGGUAGAACUGCCAACUCUCUCCAAACCUCUCUCCUCUUCAGAGCCGACCUCUCACUCCUUUACCCCUCUUCUUCCUGCCUCUAAACCUAUCUCACAACAUUCUUUUACCCUCUUCCUCUCUUCUCUUCGUAGCCGACCUCUCCCUCCUCUACCCCUCUUCUUCCUCCCUCUAAACCUACCCAACAACAUUCUUUCACCCUCUUCCUCCUAAAUUUUCUCCUCCUCUCUAAACCUCCCUCUAAUCACUCCUCAAGGUCUCUUCUUCCUCUUCUCUCAUAAGCCCAGGAUUCUCAUCCCUCCUCCUUCUACCAGGCUAAGGAUCAAGUUAAGAGCAUAAUCAAUCUUCUUGGUGAUUAAGAAAGAGGCUUAACUUGGCAAAAGACUAGACUACAAGGUCAUGGCACCUAGAAGAUUCUCAAGGGAUAAAGAAAAGAGGAGAAUAGAUGAAACUUAUGAUACCACACUAUUUGAUUCCUAUGAACAUGCUUUAAAAUUUUCAACAUUUGAAUCUAGGAAUGUCCACAAAGGAAAGUAUGUUGACUUAGAAGAUUUGGGUGAACUAGAAACAAUCCAAUGGUUUGCUAACUUAAAUGCUCUUCCGAUUCUUCAAAUUAGUGAACCUAUCUAUCCAAGACUAGUUAGAAUGUUUUACAAUAAUUUACAUGUAGAUGAAAAUGAUAGGACAUCUACUUAUCUUCUAGGACAUCAUAUACCUAUCACAAAUGGUAUAAUCUGUAACAUCUUAGAUAUUACUAAAAAAGAACAAAAUUAUUUUUUUCGAGGACAAUGGAACAUCGAGACCAUUGGGGUCACCUAUCAGAAGGCCAUUAGCACUAUUUUUGGAAACCCCAACCUAUCUAUUGUCCCAAAGAGUUGUGAGCAUUUUUUACCAUUUAACACUAAGUUGCUUCAUCAUAUCUUGAUUAGUAUCUUGCUUCCUAAACAACAUCAUCUGGAUGAAGUUAAUACUUUGGAAAUAAAUACCAUGUAUUGGAUUAUGACAGGACGUGAUUAUUGCUUUGGUUAUCUCAUACGUCAAAACAUGAUUGAUAUAUCUAGGAAGGAUAUAAUGCUUCCAUAUGGAGGCCUGAUUACCAGACUUUUACAUGCACAUGACAUAACUAUCUCACCAGAUGAAGAAAUCAUGAAACUAGAUAAAUUCAAUAUCAUUAAUAGAAAUCUAUUGAGAAGAUUGAGGUGUAUUGUAAUUAAUGAAAUAUGGACUAGAAUACCUAGAAGAAUUGAUCCUCCUCCACCCAAGCCUGUACCAAACACACCUAUACAUAGGGGCAGUCAUUCUCCUCUUACUAGUCCCUUUGAGGCGAUACCUCCAACGGAUGUAGCACCUUCUUCAUCAUAUGAGAUUAUAGCAGCUCGAUUGGACCGUUUAGAGCUUCGUCAAGACCAGAUUUUGACUGAGAUACAGCAUAUUCAUCGGUGUCUUGAUAUCUUUAAUGCACACUUUCAUACUUUAUUUAGACUUUUUGGAUUGCCAAAAUCCGAGUAGAUAUUUCUCCCUUUUAUUGAUGAGAAAGUGGGAGAAGUAGUAACUAUGCUUGUCUUUACCUUUUGAUGAAGUAGUACUUUUUUUAUAUUAAAUUAGAAAAAUUAUGUUAUGGCAUAUUUAACUUA